CGCAUUCCAGAACCUUUUCUCUCCACCAACCCCACCAAUUGAAAAUAAAUGUUAACUCAGGAUUCGACAUGCUGCGAAAUAACAAAAAGAACUGCUGAAAUAGAAAAUUUAUUAAAAAAAAGAGAAGAAAAGGUUCAAGAGGAAAAACAAAACAAGCGAAAGCCCCUGUGAGAAACUGUAGGAAGCCGAAAAACGACCAAG
rnacentral:lncRNA from 1 species